rnacentral:rRNA from 1 species
UACAGAGGAUGCAAGCGUUAUUCGGAAUGAUUGGGCGUAAAGCGUCUGUAGGCGGCUUUUUAAGUCCGCCGUCAAAUCCCAGGGCUCAACUCUGGACAGGCGGUGGAAACUACCAAGCUGGAGUACGGUAGGGGCAGAGGGAAUUUCCGGUGGAGCGGUGAAAUGCGUAGAGAUCGGAAAGAACACCAACGGCGAAAGCAGUCUGCUGGGCCGACACUGACGCUGAGAGACGAAAGCUAGGGGAGCGAAUGGG